UACGUAGGGUGCGAGCGUUGUCCGGAAUUAUUGGGCGUAAAGAGCUCGUAGGCGGUGUGUCACGUCGAUCGUGAAAACUUUCAGCUUAACUGGGAGCUUGCGGUCGAUACGGGCAUCACUGGAGUUCGGCAGGGGAGACUGGAAUUCAAGGUGUAGCGGUGAAAUGCGCAGAUAUCUUGAGGAACACCGGUGGCGAAGGCGGGUCUCUGGGCCGAUACUGACGCUGAGGCGCGAAAGCGUAGGGGAGCGAACGGG
rnacentral:rRNA from 1 species